rnacentral:rRNA from 1 species
AGCUCUGAUAGCGUAUAUUAUUGAUGUUGCAGUUAAAACGUUCGUAGUCGAACUUUAUCUGCUCAGAUAUUGUGGUAUCUAUGAUAUCGCAGUAUUUUUAGCAGAGAUAGUGCAAGGAACAUCGCACGAGUUUCUUGUGUUGGUGACCUUGCAUCUUACUUUGAGUGAAUCGGCGUGUUCCACGCAAGCAUGUGCUUUGAACGAUUUACCAUAGUAUAAUUACAGUAUGAAGGCAUCUCCUUGUUUGUUCGGAGGUGGUUUCUAUACUGAUAAGAACGGUUGAGGGCAUUCGUAUUCAACUGCCAGAGGUGAAAUUCUUUGAUUAGUUGAGGACGAACUAUUGCGAAAGCAUCUGCCAAGGACGUUUCUUUUG